CCCCUCUCAGGAUCACACCUGGAGAGUUUCCAUACUCUGCCAGUUUUGACUAUGAGAGGGAGAGUCAAGCAGAGGCAUACCCAUUCCAUUCCUAGCUUGGGCAGUAGCUAGCAAGUGGAAGGCAAUCUGCUACAAGU